rnacentral:misc_RNA from 1 species
AUGAAACGGUACCUCAAUAUGCUACCAUUGCUAAUAUGAACUGUUAAUAAUACUAAACUAAAAAGAUUAGAAUUGUCAUAUAAGUCAUUAUCCACGCAUCCACGACCUAUGAGAAACAUUUGCCCGAGUCCAACAACUAAUGUGAAGGAAAACAAGCAUAAAGCUAACAAUUUAAACACUUAAAUUCCUGACUACACAGCAGGUUUUGGAACAAAUCCAUUGUCAUAAAACAUAGGCUCAUCUAAGCAUGGAAUUUUUUUUUUCCUCCCCUUGGCAAUAGAUGCACAUAAAAUCCUUUUAGCAAAGCUACUCUUUGGAGGAUUUGUUGAUAAGUGACUUGUGAAUGUGAGGGAUGACUCCACCACCA